rnacentral:misc_RNA from 1 species
AGCAGCCGCGGUAAUUCCAGCUCCAAUAGCGUAUAUUAAAGUUGUUGCAGUUAAAAGCUCGUAGUUGAAUUUCGGGGUUAGCAGGUCGGUCGUGCCAUCGGUAUGAACUGGUCUCGCUGAUCCCUCCCUCUUGAAGAACUGUGAUGCCAUUAAUUUGGUGUCGCAGGGAAUCAGGACUGUUACUUUGAAAAAUUGAGUGUUUAAAGCAGGCUCGCGCUUGAAUACAUUAGCAUGGAAUAAUGAAAUAGGACGUUUGAUCCUAUUUUGUUGGUUUCUAGGAUUGACGUAAUGAUUAAUAGGGAUAGUUGGGGGCAUUAGUAUUCAAUUGUCAGAGGUGAAAUUCUUGGAUUUAUUGAAGACUAACUACUGCGAAAGCAUUUGCCAAGGAUGUUU